GGAAAAUGUGGAAGCCAAACCCCACGGAGAGGCAGAGCAGUUGGCUCUGGACCAUGUAAGGUGUCCCUUUCUACCAAGGCUGGGUGGGGAAAAACCCUGCAGAUAGACUCUUGAACUCUGGGGCUGCACUGAUCCUGGACAGAGACUUUUGGGUUGCGGGACUUUU